rnacentral:lncRNA from 1 species
GCAGAGGGGGCAGCGUGCUCAGGGGAGAAGAUGGAGCAGAGGUGAGCUGGGGCGGGGAAUUCCCCUGCGUGCUGCACGCCAGCUUAUUUGCUGCAGGCAGCCCUGGCUGCGCCCCACCCCACCCCAGGCCCCUCUGCCUAAAUGCUGAUGACCACCAGGGCGGCCGAAGAUCUGGCCACUGCAGUCGCUGCCAAAGGACCCGAAAUGCCGUCUCCCAAAUGCUAGUGCCCUAGGCGACCGCCUAAUGGGUUGCACCAGCUCUGCACGCACCCCACUACUGGGGGUGGGGGCAGGACUGGCUCCAGGUUUUCUGCUGCCCCAAGCAGGAGGGGGGAAAAAGCGCCAGGGCAGCGUGAUCGCACCGCUCUACUCUUCGGCAGCAAUUCGGCUGCAGGUCCUUCGCUCAGAGAAGGACUGAGGGCCCCGCCACUGAAUUGCCGCGGAAGACCCAGACGUGCCCGCACAAUAGCAGCAGGAGGGUCGCUCCCAGCCCUGGGCAGGGGGAGGCAGCAGCUGCUGCAGGAUCCUGGUACCCCUUGCCUGGGGGAGGAGAAGGCGCUGGAGAAAGCGCUCAUCAGCUCGGGGAGCGGGGAAGCUGCUAAGGGAAGAGCCCAGCGCCCAGCUAAGGAGGAAGCGGCUGCUCAGGGGACGAGCAUGAGGCUCGAGGCGUAAACUGAACCGGAGGUGACCGGCCCGACUCCAGCCCUGCACACAAGGGGCGUGGCAAACUGCAGGGGGCGGAGUCCGGAGCCCCCGGCAGGAGCCGGGGAAGCUGCUGGGAGAUGCGUUGGGUUUCUCCUCGCGCCCUGGCCCUGCGGGACGUCAUCACUCAGCGCCGUUCUCGCGGUGUCACGUGCCCCGUGUGCCUCAGUUGUGGUGUCGGGCCUUCCCCCCAGCGCGUUAGUGUCUCUGAGUUGGUCCCGCGCCCGCUUGGUGCGGCGGGAGCCGGAGAUCCCCGGCGGGAGCCAACAAUGCCGAGAAAAAGAUGCGCAAGACCCACAAUAUUAACUUCUUCAGAAAAGAAAACCAGGAGACAAAUUAUUGAUAAAAGAGUGGCGUACACAAGGAUAUACUUGGGGAAUCAAAUUGGCCGAUGGCUGACCUUAAGGGAAAAACUGGAUUUCAAAAGAGACACAGACCUUGCAGGAUUUUUGCUGGAUCUGUAA